rnacentral:rRNA from 1 species
UACGGAGGGUGCAAGCGUUAUCCGGAUUUAUUGGGUUUAAAGGGUCCGUAGGCGGACCGAUAAGUCAGUGGUGAAAUCUCGCAGCUUAACUGUGAAACUGCCAUUGAUACUGUCGGUCUUGAGUGAAUUUGAGGUAGCUGGAAUAAGUAGUGUAGCGGUGAAAUGCAUAGAUAUUACUUAGAACACCAAUUGCGAAGGCAGGUUACCAAGAUUCAACUGACGCUGAGGGACGAAAGCGUGGGUAGCGAACAGG